AGGACGAACGCGUGGCGGACGUGCCUAACACAUGCAAGUCGAGCGGAGUCGGUAAGAGGAAGUUUCGGAUGGAAUCUUAUGAUUAGCGGCGGACGGGUGAGUAACGCGUGAGCGACCAACCUUGCACAGGGGGAUAACGGACCGAAAGGUUCACUAAUACCGCAUGAGACCACGGUGUUGCAUGACACAGAGGUCAAAGGAGCAAUCCGGUGCAAGACGGGCUCGGCGUCCGAUUAGGUAGUUGGAGGGGUAACGGCCCACCAAGCCUAUGAUCGGUAGCCGACCUGAGAGGGUGAUCGGCCACAUUGGAACUGAGAUACGGUCCAAACUCCUACGGGAGGCAGCAGUGGGGAAUAUUGGGCAAUGGGGGAAACCCUUGACCCAGCAACGCCGCGUGAAGGAAGAAGGUUUUCGGAUUGUAAACUUCUGUCCUUGGUGAAGAGAAGAAGACGGUAGCCAAGGAGGAAGCCCCGGCUAACUACGUGCCAGCAGCUGC
rnacentral:rRNA from 1 species